GCGACUAAGCGUACACGGUGGAUGCCUUGGCAGUCAGAGGCGAUGAAGGACGUGCUAAUCUGCGAUAAGCGUCGGUAAGGUGAUAUGAACCGUUAUAACCGGCGAUUUCCGAAUGGGGAAACCCAGUGUGAUUCGUCACACUAUCAUUACGUGAAUACAUAGCGUAAUGAAGCGAACCGGGGGAACUGAAACAUCUAAGUACCCCGAGGAAAAGAAAUCAACCGAGAUUCCCCCAGUAGCGGCGAGCGAACGGGGAGCAGCCCAGAGUCUGAAUCAGCUUGUGUGUUAGUGGAACGGUCUGGAAAGUCCGACGGUACAGGGUGAUAGUCCCGUACACCAAAAUGCACAGGUUGUGAACUCGAAGAGUAGGGCGGGACACGUGGUAUCCUGUCUGAAUAUGGGGGGACCAUCCUCCAAGGCUAAAUACUCCUGACUGACCGAUAGUGAACCAGUACCGUGAGGGAAAGGCGAAAAGAACCCCGGCGAGGGGAGUGAAAAAGAACCUGAAACCGUGUACGUACAAGCAGUGGGAGCCUCUUUAUGGGGUGACUGCGUACCUUUUGUAUAAUGGGUCAGCGACUUAUAUUCUGUAGCAAGGUUAACCGUAUAGGGGAGCCGAAGGGAAACCGAGUCUUAACUGGGCGUUAAGUUGCAGGGUAUAGACCCGAAACCCGGUGAUCUAGCCAUGGGCAGGUUGAAGGUUGGGUAACACUAACUGGAGGACCGAACCGACUAAUGUUGAAAAAUUAGCGGAUGACUUGUGGCUGGGGGUGAAAGGCCAAUCAAACCGGGAGAUAGCUGGUUCUCCCCGAAAGCU
rnacentral:rRNA from 1 species